UACGAUCUGAUAAAAUAGAUAAAUAAUAAAUCUUUAUUUUACAUAGUGAUAUUUGAGUGGUUGCAAAGUCUCUCCCGCCAAACGCUAAUGCUUAGGUAUAUAACACUCCACACUAACUACCACUACAUUUAAUGUUCUAAGCACACAACUCCCAACUCUCAUGUUGAUUUUUGUAGGAGGCUCACAUCUUGGUCAUCUUGUGUGAUGUCUGUAGAUGUUAUAAUUUUUUCAUUUUAGCAAUUUAUAUUAUAUUAUCGAAGCGCUUCAUUUGUCAGUGGAACAAUAGACACUACUGACAAAAAAUAUCAUUGGUAGAAUUUCCAAAAAAAAAUCACAUGAUUAGAUAGUAGGUUGGAUUUUUUUUACUGAUACAACAGUGGAAAUGAGCUUACUGGGAACCCUGUGGUACAUUUGGGAAUGAAAAAAAUAUUAGGGUCAGCAAAAGUCUUCAAGAAAAUUAGAAUCGGUUGYGUAACAGGAAACACACUUAUUUGUUUUGUUUGGCCUUAUAUAGACAAACAAUAUGGCAGAUUUUACGAAAAGUAUGUAAUUUCAGACCCAAGAAUUAAUAUCAUUAUACAUGUGGAUCUGCAUACUACUUUGAGAAUGUGAUGACGAAAUUUAUCGUCAAUAAGAGGACAGACACAUAAAAAACUGAUGUCUAUUUGUUUUUUACAAUAACAAAAACGAUAAAAACUUCUCAUUUUUAGCGAUCAAAACUACCAACAGAAAGAGCACAUGCUCGUUGAUGUCAGCUUUAUUUGUCUGUCCUCUUAUUGAUGAUAAAAAAUAACCAAUCAGCAUGCGAGAAAUUUGUAAGUUAUCAUAAAAAGUAAGUUAGAGACCACAGUGACAAGAAAAUAUCAAGUCACAGAAAUUGCAGUCAUAACAAUGAUGAAGUUAAGAAUAAUGAUGUUAAAGAUGAUAAUGAUGGAGGUGGUAAAGACCAUCUUGAUGUGUCCUAUCAUCAUAAAACCAAGAAAAAUAAAAUGCAACCACAUCAACAAAACUUCAAAGACAGAGUCUAAUAAUUAAGGGACCUUUACUGGAACACGUGAAUAUUCUGCACAAAGUCGAAGCUUACCCUACUGAGCAACUGAGAACUCGAAACUGGAGUAUUGAAAGAGAUUGGUUGGAUCACAUAAAGCAGGUGUCAGAGAUUACCUCAUGUGACUUGGAGGACUGUGAGACAAAACCACCUCCAUGAAUAUGAAGCACAAGACCUUUAGACUUUGGUUUCAUUUUAGGACUAUAUUGAUUAUUGUUAGAGCCAUCCUUUGACUACAAAAUUGCAAUAAAUAUUAACAUCAUUA